UACAGAGGUCUCAAGCGUUGUUUCGGAUUCAUUGGGCGUAAAGGGUGCGUAGGCGGCGCGGUAAGUCGGAUGUGAAAUCUCGGAGCUUAACUCCGAAACUGCAUUCGAUACUGCCGUGCUUGAGGACUGGAGAGGAGACUGGAAUUUACGGUGUAGCGGUGAAAUGCGUAGAUAUCGUAAGGAAGACCAGUGGCGAAGGCGGGUCUCUGGACAGUUCCUGACGCUGAGGCACGAAAGGCCCAGGGGGGAGCAA
rnacentral:rRNA from 1 species